AAACGUCGAUUGAUGAUUCAGAUAACAUCAGCGAUUAUGAAAAUUUAGAGGUGACAUUGGCACCGAAAGAAAAGGGUAAAUCGCCCAAGGAUCUCUGUUUUACGGACGAGGCGACAGAACUGAGCACUGUCUAAGUUCCUCCUGAAUGGCUUUCAAAAUUCCAACUACCAUCGAGGUUCUCUGCCUCAGUAGAGUUGGAUACCCAGAAGGGAUAUCUCAUCAGCAGCCUAAAGUACUCUGAGCAACAGUGGAUUGCAAAAAAAAAAUUAUUGCAGAGUAUCCUUGUAUGGUUAGCAGGAUACUAGACUAAGUUGACUUGGAAACUGAAUGGAUUGGUAUGGUCUAAAUAUCUAUUGCUUCACCUCUUCUGCUUGCAGUGAAAAGAGACAAUUUUGUGGUGCUGAAUCUCUUGCCUUAAACUAAAAAGUUGCAAAAUAAUCACUCUCACCUUUUAAGUUCAUGACCUUUGUUCUUGUGUGUUUGUCAUCACAUGCAUUUAAUGAAGUUGUGACCAUUUUGGAGGUACAAGUCCAAAAAACUGCUACUUUGGUACUAAGAUGAACAGCUAAAAUUUCUGAGCCCAUUUGCCAAUGAAGUCCAGAUACAAAGUUUCAAGAACUUUGGGGUUGUAUUAAUUUUGCCUUUUUGUUUAGUUUUUUUGAUUUUGCAAAUUUUUUAAAAUAUUCCUGUUGUCAAACCAUUAGAUAAAUAUUGGACAUAGAAUAGCUGAUUUUUUUCAGAUAUUUUGGGAGUCAUACAUUAGUUUUUCAAGUCUUGAAUGGGAGACAAAUUACACACAUUGAGCUAAACUUCCACUUCCAUUUCUGGUGUUUUAG